UCAUGACAACAGAACUUCAACGAUGACUUUGAUCAUGAGCUUUUUGUGGAUAUUGAUGUUCUUCAUUCAGGAAUCCAGAGGACAGGUCACUGUGACUCAGACUCCUACAGUGAAAGCUGUUCUCCCAGAAAAUACAGUUAUUAUAAACUGUAAAACCAGUGUGACUGUAUAUGAUGGUUGUACUGGGUCUCAUACCUGUAUGGCCUGGUACCAACAGAAACCUGGAGGAGCUCCUAAACUCCUGAUGCACUCUUCAAACCAACGUCAGUCUGGGAUUCCAUCUAGAUUCAGUGGCAGUGGAUCUGGGAGUGACUUCACUCUGACCAUCAGUGGAGUCCAGGCUGAAGAUGCAGGAGAUUACUACUGUCAGAGUUUCCACUACAUCAAUAGUAAAAAUGUGUUCACACAGUGA